UCAAAACACCAUUCCAAAACAUUUACUAUAUUAUAUUUUCAGUAACAUGUGUUUGAAUUAUACUAUUAUAGAAAAGAAAGAAUACUAACCGGUGAGGCUUAGGAUACUAGUCGAUAUCAAUGGUAAAGUGUAACAUUUUUCAAAAGAACAUGCCCUACUGAAUAUCGAAGAAGGAGUAAAAUAAUAUUAUGGUUUGGAUGUGGGUACUGUCGUACGUUGUCGUUGUUGCCUCCAUUUUGAAAUACCACGAAGCAUUGACAACAGAUACUUUCUCGCAAUUUCUGUCGAAUUUCAAGAGCUUAGUGGACGAAAUGUCGGUGUAUUUUCAACCAUGCGGAUUCCCCAUAGAAUUAGUUGCAAGAUUGUGUAGAGAAAAAUUGCAGAAGAUAAAUUAGCCAAAAUGUAAGUGAUUUUCGCUUGUAAUAGAAAAUAAAUAUUAAGCUAUUCUGAAUAUUUUCUGAAAUUUUAAAAUAAAUAAAA